AGUGAGCGCUGGCGGUAGGCCUAACACAUGCAAGUCGAACGGCAGCACAGUAAGAGCUUGCUCUUACGGGUGGCGAGUGGCGGACGGGUGAGGAAUACAUCGGAAUCUACUUUUUCGUGGGGGAGAACGUAGGGAAACUUACGCUAAUACCGCAUACGACCUACGGGUGAAAGCAGGGGAUCUUCGGACCCUGCGCGAUUGAAUGAGCCGAUGUCGGAUUAGCUAGUUGGCGGGGUAAAGGCCCACCAAGGCGACGAUCCGUAGCUGGUCUGAGAGGAUGAUCAGCCACACUGGAACUGAGACACGGUCCAGACUCCUACGGGAGGCAGCAGUGGGGAAUAUUGGACAAUGGGCGCAAGCCUGAUCCAGCCAUACCGCGUGGGUGAAGAAGGCCUUCGGGUUGUAAAGCCCUUUUGUUGGGAAAGAAAAGCAGCAGGUUAAUACCCCGCUGUUCUGACGGUACCCAAAGAAUAAGCACCGGCUAACUUCGUG
rnacentral:rRNA from 1 species